CCAGAAACCUCCUUUGUUGACGUGGAAGCACUUACAACAUCGCUCAAUGGUGGAUCUCCAUAUAUCCUAGGAUGGUUCUUCACGAGCUGUGUUGUAAGGUGGAUCGCUACACGUCCUGAGAAGAUUCCUCACGGGCUGUGUUGUAAGGUGGAAAGAUUUUUCACGGGCUGUGUUGUAAGGCGGAUCAGUAUAUGUCCAAGCAAGCUUUAUAACGGGCUGUGUAGUAAGGUGGAAAGAUUCCUCACGGGCUGUGUUGUAAGGUGGAAAGAUUCCUCACGGGCUGUGUUGUAAGGUGGAUCUCUACACGUCAUGAGAUGAUUCUUCACGGGCUGUGUUGUAAGGUGGAAAGAUUCUUCACGGGCUGUGUUGUAAGGUGGAUCUCUUCACGUCCUGAGAAGAUUCUUCACGGGCUGUGUUGUAAGGUGGAUCUCUUCACGUCCUGAGAAGAUUCUUCACGGGCUGUGUAGUAUGUGAAGAAUAGCAAGAUUUUGACUUACACACGGUGUGUUAAAAUUACCUUCUGAUCGAUCUUGAAUGACCCUUUGUUUGAUUACAGGCAGAUUUUACAUCAACGUCAUAUCAAGUGAUUUACAUUUGUAAUUUUUCAUCACAUUUUCAAUGGUACCUUUAAUAUUUCUCAGAAUUUUAGUACGAAAUAAACAACAUAAUUUAUCAACUUACACAGCAUUAAAAUCUUUGUAAAUGGGCGUAGAUAAUAACAGACAAUGCAGAACUUGCAUCAAAUACGCCUUGUUCUUAAACUAUUUUUGAAAAUCGGAUAUAUUAUCCACAAAGGGCUGUUAUUAUUGCUACCUUAACACUUAAAUAAAGCGCUCGCGUCCGAAA